GUACCAAAAACCGACGGCCGGUUCUGCCGGUCUCACUCUUGGUGACUCUGAAUAAAGUAGCGGAUCGCACGGCCUUGCGCCGGCGACGGACCAUUCAAGUGUCUGCCCUAUCAGCUUUCGAUGGUAAGUGACCUGCUUACCAUGGCUUUCACGGGUAACGGGGAAUCGGGGUUCGAUUCCGGAGAGGGAGCAUGAGAAACGGCUACCACUUCCAAGGAAGGCAGCAGGCGCGCAAAUUACCCAAUCCCGACACGGGGAGGUAGUGACGAAAAAUAACAAUGCCGCCCUCUGCGAGGGAGGUAAUUGGAAUGAGCACAAUUUACAAACCUUAGCGAGGAUCUAUUGGAGGGCAAGUCUGGUGCCAGCAGCCGCGGUAAUUCCAGCUCCAAUAGCGUAUAUUAAAGUUGUUGCAGUUAAAAAGCUCGUAGUUGGAUCUCAGGAGCGAGAGGCGCGGCUGGGCGCGGCCUUCGCGCAAGCGGGGUCGUCGUUCCGGCCAGCCUGAAUCGUUCCCUCCGCAGGCUCUCCGGUCGUGCUAUUAGCUUAGUGCGGCCGGCAGGUCUGCCGCUUACUUUGAAG
rnacentral:rRNA from 1 species